rnacentral:rRNA from 1 species
CCUACGGGAGGCAGCAGUGGGGAAUUUUGCGCAAUGGGGGAAACCCUGACGCAGCGACGCCGCGUGGAGGAUGAAGGCCUUCGGGUUGUAAACUCCUGUCAGAGGGGACGAAAUCCCGCAAGGGACUGACGGUACCCUCAGAGGAAGCCCCGGCUAACUACGUGCCAGCAGCCGCGGUAAUACGUAGGGGGCAAGCGUUACUCGGAAUUACUGGGCGUAAAGGGUGAGUAGGCGGCUGGGCAAGUCAAGGAUGAAAUCCCGAGGCUCAACUUCGGAACUGUCCUUGAAACUGCUCAGCUUGAGGGUAGUUGAGGAGAGCGGAAUUCCCGGUGGAGCGGUGAAAUGCGUAGAUAUCGGGAGGAACACCAGAGGCGAAAGGCGGCUCUCUAAGCUACUCCUGACGCUGAAUCACGAAAGCUAGGGGAGCAAACG